AUUUGGUUUCCUUGUGAAGGAUGCUAUGCACAUUAUUGGAAGAAUCGAGAAGCAGGACUCGUGAUUGUGGAGUAUCGAGGAUUACAAUGCUAUUAUAAUUACUUGUAACAGAAGUGAGCACCUUGAAAUCUGCUGCGCAGCUCCUUAUCGUCUUUCUUCUUCUCAAAUGCACUUGUCUUCUCGAAUGCGAAAUGGAGCUCAACACCUUUUCAUUGCCAAUAGGAAAUACGCUCGCCGAUGGGCCGCCCCAUACA
rnacentral:misc_RNA from 1 species